rnacentral:tRNA from 1 species
GUGAUGGCUCAGUGGUUAAGAGCACUGACUGCUCUUCCAGAGGACCUGGGUUCAAUUCCCAGCUCACA